GUGAGGCUGCUGGGAGGUGGUGCGUGCCCUCUGAAGUGGGUUAGAGCCUCCUGUGAGACCCUGGAGAAAAGGUGCCAUCUAGGAGAAGGGUCCCUAACCUGACACUGUCUCCAAGAGCCUGGAUCCUGGACUCCCAGCCUCCAAAGCUCCGAGGAGUGAGACCCUGCUGACUAAAUGACCUCACAGCUGGGGACCAUCUGGAAGAGGCCCACAAGGUUCAUUGAGUCCAGUAGAGGAGACCAGCUUCGAACCCACGAACAAGCCAGUGAGUGAACGAGACAGUCUCAGAGAGUGGAGGGACAAGAAUAGAAGCAGAGGAGACACCAUGGUGGCCUUAAGCAGGUGUUGGCAGUGGUCACAGCAAGGAUGGCAAGAAGUGUUCAGACCUGAAAUAUACUUUGGAGACAGAGGCUAGAGGCCUGGAGGCACAGCUGUACUCAGUGGAGCAAGACUGUUCAUCCUUCCAGGAGGUCACCUGAAGCUCAGCCAGGAUGGCAUGCUCUGCCCUGCAAACUCCGCAGAAGGAGCCCAUCUCUGGCCCCGCUCCUGUGACUAUGAGGAGUCUCCGCUGCCAGGCUUCCACCCUAAAAAGCAGCAUUGAUGACACAGACACCGGGGACCCUGGAACCAGGAGGGCAGAGGCUGCUGAGCCAACUGUGUCACUGGGGCCCUGAAUGUGUGGGGUUGAGCUUGACAGGCCAGGUCCCCACGCACGUAAUGAGAUGGUAGGAGAGCUGAGGAGUGGCGCACCCCCUCCCAGCAGGGAAGACACAGCCUGAACCCCGAGAUGCAGACAGGGAGGGGCCGCCUAGGGGAGGCCACGGCCCAGUGGGUUUCCUGCGAUGGUGCCCUUCUCCUGUCCUUCAUUCAGACUGCACACGUUAUCUUACUGUAAUAAAUACAUCCUGUCUGGCAACACAACCUGGAUUACCUACUGAAGAAGCCAAUGAAAAAUGGCCAGGAUCUUUCUAGGGUUUCCCCUUCUGCAUAGCACAAGAUUCAUCAGCCCCUCUCACGACUGUGUGGCCAAAGGCAAGUCCGACUGCACUGGUGUGAACCCUGCAGGCCAGGUGCCCGUGGGGACACGAGAGAAGCAGUGCCCAGGGGUGUGGGCAGGAGCCACCAAGCACAGUGCUCUGGGGAUGGGCGCACACAGGGAGAAGACAC
rnacentral:lncRNA from 1 species